rnacentral:misc_RNA from 1 species
AAAAAUAUUUGGUCUCGUGCCAAAUUUACACCUGUGUGCACCAUUGUCUGUAUUUGGUAGCUCGAGCGCGCUCCGGAAGCUCAACACUUCCAUUAGGGGCGCCUACCCUUGCGGGUCACAUCCCGCUUGGGUUGGGCUACCGCCUUUUUUUUUGAAAAACCUUUUUUAUUUUGUCUUUUUGUCUGAACGAAGAGUUGAUCUUAAUUGAUUAAUGAUUUGAAAA